AACAAAAAAAUAAAAUAAAGUAAAAUUAGAGAUGUCUGCUAAAUAUUUUGGCAUAAGUAUCAUUAACUAGAAGUAUUGGCUUACAUUAAAUAAAAUAAAAUUAGCAUAAGUUAAUACAAAUCCUAAUUGUUUAUCUGCUGAGUUUUGGCAAAUGUGUACAAAAUUGUCAAGAUGUCAAAUAUCAGAAAGUUACCACAUAGUUUUUCCCAGUCCAUCUUUGUCCCUAUCCUACUUUUUCUUACCGUAAGUGAGGUUUUCCUAUUCUAUAUCUUUUUGUAAAUAGACUCACACAGCAUGUACUCUUGAUCAUGGCUUCUCUUCACUCAUUAUGUUUUGAAUUUAUCAUGUUGCUGGACAUAUUUGUAAUCUGUUUCAUUUUAUUGCUGAAUUGUAUUCCAUUGACUGACUAUUGAAGGUUUUUUAAAUCCAUAUUUCUAUUUAUGAAUACCUGGGUAUUUUUCAGUAUUGACAAUUAUAAAGAAGGCUGCUAUGAUUAUUCUUAAUAUAAGUCUUAGGUGACAUAGACUUUCAUUUCUCUGCGUGAUUUCUUAAGGCUAGAAUUUCUAUAUUGUAUGGUAGUUUUAAGGAAGCUGCCAUACCAUUUUUCAAUGUGGUCAUGUGUGUCCUGAAUUUUAACUGUAUUUUGGAUGCGUGUAAAGGUGUAAACUAUUUUUAUGGUUCAUAUUUGAAACAUUAGAAGUAGAUUUUGGAGAGAUGUAGCGUUAUUCAUGGUCAACUAUUGGUAUUGAGGAAAGAAAAUACCUA